UGCAGAGGUAGCUCAGUGUAAAGUGUUUGCUUAGUGAGUAUAAGCCCUUGGGUUCAAUCCCCAGCAUUGCAA
rnacentral:tRNA from 1 species